UGGAGAUCCCAAAGAACCCAAAAAACCACCUGGAGAUAUCAAAAAACCACCUGGAGAUACCAAAAACCCACCUGGAGAUCCCAAAGAACCCAAAAAACCACCUGGAGAUACCAAAAAAACAUCUGGAGAUCCAAAAAAACUCACCUGGAGGUCCUUGUGGAGGAGGUUCCUUGAGGAACCUUCAGGAACCACGUGGAGAGCCCAAAAAACCA